rnacentral:rRNA from 1 species
CAGCAGCCGCGGGAAUACGUAGGUGGCGAGCGUUGUCCGGAAUUAUUGGGCGUAAAGGGAGCGCAGGCGGGCGAGUAGGUCUUUCUUAAAAGUGCGGGGCUCAACCCCGUGAGGGGAGAGAAACUACUCAUCUUGAGUGCAGGAGAGGAAAGCGGAAUUCCUAGUGUAGCGGUGAAAUGCGUAGAUAUUAGGAAGAACACCAGUGGCGAAGGCGGCUUUCUGGACUGUAACUGACGCUGAGGCUCGAAAGCCAGGGGAGCGAACGGGAUUAGAUACCCCUGUAGUCCCUGUCUCUUAUACA